UGGGGGAGGGAAUUACUUUAGGUUUCAUGACCUUGAAAAGCUGCUCUCCAAGGCAAUUUUAAGCUGUUACCUGAAUGACAAAAGGCAGCAGCCAGCCAAACACCGAGGGCAAGAAUUUUUCAAACACAGUAACCAGUUCAUGCAGAGCCUUGAGCAGGGAUCAGGCUUGGUGUGUUUGAGGAGAAGAAGGCGGGCCAGUGUUGGUAGGGUGGGGUGAAUGCCGUUGGGGAGAGUAGGAGAAGAAAGUGAGGUCAGAGAGGUCGAGUCAUGAGCAUUGUAGCCCGCACCAAGGGGUGUGGAUAUAUUUUUUAGAGGGCUGGGAAUCGUGGGAAGGCUUAAAAUGGGAGAAUGACAUUUUACAAAGAUCCCUCUGGCUGCUGCUGGGUUGAGCAUGGCCUGCCGUGAGGCAAGCCUUAAAAUAGGGACACCAGUGGGGGACAGUGACAAGUAAAACACGUGGCCAAUGAGGGUGAUUAUGAUGGAGGUCUGGCACAAUGUGAUGCUUAGAUGCAGCUCCGAAUCUUGUUACUAACACGAGGCAUCAUAACACCAGCCAGCAUGUGGUGGUAGCUGUCUCAGACCAAACCUCCCGACCCAGGAUGGUGAUUUUGCCUUACCCCUUCAGCCCUCUUGCCUUUUCUCUCGGAGAUUUUCCUGUAAACUUGUCAUGUGAUCAGUGUGGGGGAAAAGGGGUGAGGUUAGAUUCCUUUUGCCUCUAGAACUUUCUCCCAUGGCUGCUAGGAAUAUUAAGAUAAGCUAAAAUUGUGUCGAAUCCAAAGGGAGAGAACAACAGUGUCUAAGUAAAGGCCCACCAAGAAUCCUGUGCCGACAGUGGACUAUUUAUUAAAUAUCAGCUUUUGGACAAAGACAGUAGCUAUAUGUGAAUGAUAUUUGUUUUGAGAAUCUUGAAAAAAACACAGAGAAUUCUUCUAAACGUUGAAAACAGCAAGGCCCCUUGUACCCCCAUUCCAUAAAUUCUGUUAUGAAUGAGGUUGUAUGUUUCACAUUUAAUAAACAGUCACUGGCUUGGAAGGAUUUCUUUUCUGGAUCUAAUGGACUGAAGGCCAAAGUUGUUUUUUUUUUCCCCCAUUCUAAUUUACACCACUAUUUAUAGACCUGCCAUUUUCCAUACUUAGCAUGCUUUCCAGAAUGCAGGAAAGAGGCCAAAUGAAGUUGCUACAGGUCUUAUGCCUCCUGGUUAUCCACACGAGGCAAACCGCCCUGAUAGUGAGACUGAGUCCCUGAAACAAUGGUCUUUGAUCAGCCCAUGUCAGCUCCCUCCUCCAUUUGUCCAGACUAGAUCAAUUAUUGGGCAGCCUGCUUUAGGGUUGCCAGAUGAAAUUAUGGGACAUACAGUUAAAUUUGAAGAUAAGAUUUUAAAAGAUGAAUAAUUGUUUAGUACCAGUAUGUCCCAAGUUUUAUAGGGACAGAUAGUAGUUGUUUAUUUGAAAUUCAAACUUAACUGGACAUCCUGUGCUUUUAUUUGAGGAAGUGGCAAGCCCAGCCCUGGCUGGGGAUGGGUGUGAAGCAUUUUCAGCAGUAAGGGCCACUUAAUGCCACACAUUGGCUGCCUCGUUGGGCCUGUCCAUCUCUGGUCACCUACUGCCCUCAACCCAGCUGGAUUGCAAAUGGGUAUUGUCACUGGAGUGACCAGCUCUCUUUACCUACCUUCCGGUGUCUCAAUUAGACUCUCAGCCCUGUAUUUAGGACAUUCUCUCCUUUCCCUAUAGUAGGAACCCUAUAGUAGAAGCUAUUUUCCAUCCAUCCAUCCAUCCAUCCAUCCAUCCAAUAAGUAUUUAUAGAACACCUUUUAAGUACCAGAGACCAGGCAGAAAAUCCAUAAUCUCCCUGGGAACAUGUCGUGGGGACAAUUCAUGCUCUGUCUUGGAGCCAGCUUCUUGGAAGGCCUCCAGAGCAUAGGAAGCAGCUGUUGCAAUGAACAAAACAGCUCUGAUCCCAGCAUCUCUGGACUUGUCCAACUGAGCCUAUAUAUCUCAGAUGCCACGAGUUGCCCUGGAACUAGCCCUGACCUGUGAGACGUGGCACAACGAAGCUGAAAGCCAGACAGGACUGUCCUGUCCUAUCCGUUAGGGAAGGCUACUUGUAACAACAAACAGACUUCGACAUGUAACAUCACACUAGAAGUUUAUUUUCUGUUCAAGUAAUACUUCUGGGCAGGUACAGAGAUUUGUGGGGGAAUCCACUCAGCACACUCAUUCAUGGACUGGAACCGGUGGAGGCUCUGUUAUCUUCACCAGGUCACUGAUCAUUUCCAAGGUUGCCUGGGGGUCAUCAUCAGCCCAGCCGGCCAUAAGAGGGUCAGGGCGUGGAGGCGUGCGUGGGAGAUUUGACCAAGCCUGGAAGGGGCCCACAUUGUUUCCUCUCAGAUCCCUUGGACAGCCACAUGGCCGUUCCUAGUUGCAAGGGAGGCCAUGCAACGUGUGCCCAGGAAGAAGAAACCAACACGGACUCAGCUAACUUCUCUGAGCCUCAGUUCCCUCAUCUGCAAAAUACUCCACCGACUGCCAGUUGGUAAAGUGACUGCUGGGACCCACCACCGGCAGGUCUGACAAUGUUCCCCAACUCCCCAAUUGGCCAGCAUCGGACUUCCCACCCCCAGUCUGGAGAUGAAGGAGGUAUGAUCCCUCUUCCAUUUGCCCAACUGCCUGCUUCUUGGUUCUCACCCGUCUCAGACCAGCUGCCUAGAGCCAAGCCACUUUAUCUCACAGGUUGUGUUCCAGGAGUUCACUUACUAGAACUUUGCAACUUGGAGUGCACUCUUCCAUAAAAGCAGCUGUAUGGGGAUCACGGCCAGGGCCCGGCCUCCAUCUUCUGGCCCGAGGCAACUCUAAGGGGUGGGCUGGAGAGAGUCGCUGGCACCCCGGCCGUUCCCACGGUAGCAUCUGAGAAGGCUCUGCAGCAGGGAGCACGGGUGGAGUUUGGGGCCCCAGAGGCUUUGUGAGUGGCUGGUUCCCAUGGCAACCAUGGGGUGGCCUCCACAGCUGUCGGGAACUGAGUAGCCCUGGUUAGAAGCUAACAGUAGGCUUGUAAGCCUGGAGCUGCCUGUGGCUGCAACCCAGAGCAAGGCGCCCUUCCAGCUGGGGUCGUUCAUUACCAGCACGCCUUCUGCAGCCCUGCGUCCAUGUCAUUGAAACAAAUACCUAUUGAUCAUCUGCUUCCCAAACACUGUGGUGGAUCCUGAGAACCCAGGAAUAAGACACAGCCCUGGUGUGCCAGCCUCGAGGGGAAUUGUAGCUCCAUGACACCCGAGAAUGUCGUUGACAAUCACAUGUAGCAAGAUGAGUGAUGAGCACGUCUCCAGCCUCUCAAGAAUCCAACCUUUCAAGAAUGCUUCAUUUCUUAGGACCAAUGGUUCCAGUAAUGGUGAAGGGGAAGAGGGCGCUGGAAGGAACAGCUGGAUCUCGUGCCUUUGCCUCAGAUGCCAUCCAAAAUGGUAAGGCCAUCUGUGGCUCAGGGGAGGAGACUAAUGUACCCAAGAUCGCAUAUCUAUAAAAGGCAGGGCCAGGAUCUGGCUCCUGGCUCCUUGCCUCUAAAGGCUUGGCACAGAGGAAAGACGAACACAAGAAGAAAAUCCCAGCAUCUCUGAAAGCCUCCCGAGGAGGUGGGUCCCACGUGGGUGCUACAGUGGCCAACAUGCCCCGGGUGCAUCCGAUAGUCAAAGGUUGGGAAUUCUUCUUGCUACAGGCAUCCCUGAUCCCCGUGCCUGUCUGUAAAUUUCUUCCACCCAAUAUGGCUCCCGCAGUGUCUCUCUAGGAAUGUGAAUAGGAUAGGGCCAGGCCCACAUGCCAAACAGGCAGCCCCGGGGGGACAAAGGCCAUCUCCAGGGUAACUGAAAUCCACACUCGUAAGCACUUUAUGGAGAGACUCUAAUACUCUCUUGGAUUCUACCCGGGAGCAUCGAGGUGAAGACACCAAUGUGCGCAAGAAGAUUCAGAGUCCAGAAGGCUGGCAGGCACAGCCUGCUGACUGCUCCAUGGGGACAGCGUGCCUUCGGGGUCCCCUGUGGCCUUCGGGCAUGCCCUCUCCCAUGGGAGCCCAGUAUUUCUACAUCUGGAGAGAAAGCCUUCGGGGACCAUCACAGGAGGCCAAGAGGCCUGCAUGCCUCAGGGGCUCAGAGGCAGGUGCAGGAACCCUUCCUGGUCUUUCCUGCCAUUCAUUCCCCUACCCUCCGGAGAAAUUCUGAGUUUGUAGCGGGCAGUGCUGGUGGUGGUCGCGGUGGGGGAGAGUCUGUAUUUUUAACAAGCUUUGCCGGUGAUUUUGAUGUGGGAGGUCUGUGGGCCCUAUUUUGAAAACUCCCGCUUUCCCCGCCGACACAGCUUCCAGUGGAUUCUCUGGGCACGGUGACACUUCUGAGAGCCAUUUGGAGUCUCAGGACAUUCUCUAGAAAACAAAUCUAUGCCGAAGUCCGUAGGAAUCUUUACCGGAUUCAUCAUCGGGGAGUUGUGGAGGGCCCUGUUAAGGCCCUGGGGGCUGGGCUGUGCAGGGAGCAGUGCCCUGACCAAGAAUAGCGUCCCCUCUCCUUCCCCCAGAACCCACCCAGGGAUGGCCAAGCAGGGGCUCGGAACAGGAGGGCGUCCCUGCAGGGUUAAGGCCCUGAAAGGGUUAACAGUCUCCCCAGAAGCCUGGAUUCCAAGGAGAGUUGGAGCACUGGGCCUUUCUGCUGGCCCUCUGGGCACACCAGCCAGCACCUCUGUUCUGGUGCCUGCCCCUCGGGGCUGAGACCCUGAGCCUCCCCCCUCCUCCCUUCCCCCUUCCCCCAUGCGGGGUGCUCUGUUCCGGACACAGUUAGCCAGAACCCUCGGGACAAAGAAGCUUCCUUUGAGAAACACAUGCUUGGAGGGGGACUAGGUCUGUGUCUACACAACAACACUUCCCAAUGUUCUGAAAAGGAAAACAAAAUAAACAAAUGUGUGAGGUAGCGAUGAAGACAUUCAAAAUAUUUCCCUCUAGAGCCGGAGAAAUCUGACGGUGAAAAAAGAGAACUGAUUUUGCUGCCCCCCCCCUCCCCCACCUUACACCCGCUUCAAUUUAGGCUCCUUAUUGCUUUCUGGAUCUUUCAGGGUUAUAACUGCUAUCUCAAUGACUAAUAGAAAACUCCAUUAGGCCCUUUCUUUAUGAAGGGAAUUAAUGACUUCGAAAAUUUAGUGCUUUGUAAACAUAGUAGGGAAAGCAUUUCCCCAGGCUCGCGGAUUCCUUGGCAGGGAGGGAAGCUGGUUAGGAAAGUAAAUGUUUCCAGCUUGCUGAGAGGCCCCCCCUUCACCAAGCACUGUCUGCUUCUUGUAAAGCCCGGCCCCACAACACUGGGAUGUUUCAGAGUCCUAAAAAAAGGAGUCAAAGUAAAACCCAAAGAAGCAGGAGCCAGAGAGAAUGAGACGCAUCUGUGGAGUCGAAAAAAGACCAACUGGUGGAAUUUUCUAAUAUAAAUGAAUUUUUUCGGCAAAAAUGUGCGUCCUUGGUACACCCACCUUUUGACCCGAAUUAGAGAAAUUGGUUGUUUACCCAACCCAAACCCACAGGGUAAUUACCCUCUCUGUUCUCUUAAAGUUUUAGGCCUGGCCAAUGACAUAACACCUUCAGAAAUGAAAAACCUCUCACAAAAAAUAAAAAUAAUAAGAAAAAAAUAAAAAGCCUCUCAGGACAGACAUUCAGAAGCGAGCCCAGGAAAGAAGGGAUUGUGGGAUCAGGACGGUGGGGUUUCAUUGCUGGCAUUCACAUGGCAAGUUGCUAACACUUGAGGGAGGGGAGGUGAUGGGGGAGAGAAGGGAAAAAGCUUUCCUUGUCCACCAAGGCUUUCUCCUUCAAAGCUGCCUUUUCCAGAGACCAGCCUUUUCUGGCCCAGUCCCUUCCUCCUCAAGAAAACUGCAGCAACACCAGUUCAGCAAAUGCUCACAUCUCUGAAAGUCAGUCAGUCCCACUCGAGGACCCGGGUAAUGGAACUACCCAGGCCCGACCCAGGGGAUUCAUUCAUUCCUCCCCUGCAUCUUGGUUAGGUUGUGCUAACUCAUUCGUUCAUUUACCAAACAGUGUUGAGCACCUACUGUGUCCAGUUUGGGGUCAAACCUUUGAGAUUCAGGAAAGGAGGCCUUCAAAAAGGCUAUCAGUCCUUGUAACAGCAACACCAGCAGCCAAAACGUGUAUUGCUUUGGGAGUAUCUGAGUUUUUGAGACAAACCGCUGUGACUUUCUCUUCGUUUCUUAAUCCGUUUCAAAGGGAC